UCGAGAAUCUGCCUCCGGGCAAUCUCCCACCCUUUGUUUACAUACCAUGUUGCUUUGGCAGGCCCGCCUCUGGGCCGCCGGCUUUCUGCUGGCCCGUGCCUGCCAGAGGCUAUCAAACUCUUGUUUAUGUGUUGUCUGAGUAAAUAUAUAAUAGUUA
rnacentral:misc_RNA from 1 species